UAUCCCUCCCAUGACUCUCUCUCACUCUCUUUUACAUCUGGCUUCUUCCUCUCUAAACUUGCCCUUGGGGAGAUUCACUGUGCCACCUCAUGCUCCUGUCUUGUGAUAAGAAAUAAGGUAAGAUUAGUAGAUCCCUCCUCUAUUAAAAAUUAGAGAUUGAUUAGAUCUUUGAGAAUUUUAGAAAUUAUUUUGAAAUAUUGGCAUAUCACUG
rnacentral:lncRNA from 1 species